GAUGAACGCUGGCGGCAUGCCUAACACAUGCAAGUCGAUCGGUAAGGCGCUUCGGAGUACACGAGAGGCGGACGGCUGAGUAACGCGUAGGAACACACCCUGCAGUGAGGGAUAAGACACCGAAAGGUGUUCUAAUACCGCAUACGGUCUUCGGAUUAAAGCAUUUAUGCGCUGAAGGAGUGGCCUGCGUCAUAUUAGAUAGUUGGUGAGGUAAUGGCUCACCAAGUCGAUGAUGUGUAGCUGGUCUGAGAGGAUGAUCAGCCAGACUGGAACUGAGACACGGUCCAGACUCCUACGGGAGGCAGCAGUGAGGAAUAUUUCACAAUGAGCGAAAGCUUGAUGGAGCAAUGCCGCGUGCAGGAUGAAGGCCCUCGGGUUGUAAACUGCUUUUAUAAGAGAAGAUUAUGACGGUAACUUAUGAAUAAGGGACGGCUAACUACGUG
rnacentral:rRNA from 1 species